rnacentral:rRNA from 1 species
AGUGAACGCUGGCGGUAGGCCUAACACAUGCAAGUCGAACGGCAGCACAGUAAGAGCUUGCUCUUACGGGUGGCGAGUGGCGGACGGGUGAGGAAUACAUCGGAAUCUACUUUUUCGUGGGGGAUAACGUAGGGAAACUUACGCUAAUACCGCAUACGACCUACGGGUGAAAGCAGGGGAUCUUCGGACCUUGCGCGAUUGAAUGAGCCGAUGUCGGAUUAGCUAGUUGGCGGGGUAAAGGCCCACCAAGGCGACGAUCCGUAGCUGGUCUGAGAGGAUGAUCAGCCACACUGGAACUGAGACACGGUCCAGACUCCUACGGGAGGGAGCAGUGGGGAAUAUUGGGCAAUGGGCGAAAGCCUGAUCCAGCCACACCGCGUGGGUGAAGAAGGCCUUCGGGUUGUAAAACCCUUUUUUUGGGGAAGAAAAGAAGCGGGUUUAAACCCCCCUUUUUUGACGGUACCCAAAGAAAAAGCCACGGCUAACUUCGUG